GACGAACGCUGGCGGCGUGCUUCACACAUGCAAGUCGAACGAGGUAGCAAUACCUAGUGGCGGACGGGUGAGUAACGCGUAGAUAAUGUGCCCUCUUGCGGGGGAUACCGUUUCGAAAGGAACGUUAAUACCGCAUAAAGUCCUUAGGAGGCAUCUCUUAGGGAUCAAACUUCCGGGGCGGGAGGAGCAAUCUGCGUACUAUCAGCUAGUUGGUGAGGUAAUGGCUCACCAAGGCUACGACGGUUAACUGGUCUGAGAGGAUGAUCAGUCACACUGGAACUGAGACACGGUCCAGACUCCUACGGGAGCAGCAGUGAGGAAUAUUGCACAAUGGGCGAAAGCCUGAUGCAGCGACGCCGCGUGGAGGAUGAAGGAUUUCGGUCUGUAAACUCCUGUCAGUAGGGAAGAGAAUGGACGGUACCUACUGAGGAAGCUUCGGCUAACUACGUGCCAGCAGCCGCGGUAAU
rnacentral:rRNA from 1 species